UGGGGAAUAUUGGACAAUGGGCGCAAGCCUGAUCCAGCCAUGCCGCGUGAGUGACGAAGGCCUUAGGGUUGUAAAGCUCUUUUGGCGGGGAAGAUAAUGACGGUACCCGCAGAAUAAGCUCCGGCUAACUUCGUGCCAGCAGCCGCGGUAAUACGAAGGGAGCUAGCGUUGUUCGGAAUCACUGGGCGUAAAGCGCACGUAGGCGGAUGUGUCAGUCAGGGGUGAAAUCCCGGAGCUCAACUUCGGAACUGCCCUUGAUACAGCACGUCUUGAGUCCGAUAGAGGUGGGUGGAAUUCCUAGUGUAGAGGUGAAAUUCGUAGAUAUUAGGAAGAACACCGGUGGCGAAGGCGGCCCACUGGAUCGGUACUGACGCUGAGGUGCGAAAGCGUGGGGAGCAAACAGGAUUAGAUACCCAGGUAGUCCCUGAGCGGGCUGGCAAGGCGCAU
rnacentral:rRNA from 1 species